AGGAAACAUGGAGAAGAAUCCUUUGGCAGCCCCAUUACUAAUCCUCUGGCUUCAUCUUGACUGCGUGAGCAGCAUACUGAACGUGGAACAAAGUCCUCAGUCACUGCAUGUUCAGGAGGGAGACAGCACCAAUUUCACCUGCAGCUUCCCUUCCAGCAAUUUUUAUGCCUUACACUGGUACAGAUGGGAAACUGCAAAAAGCCCCGAGGCCUUGUUUGUAAUGACUUUAAAUGGGGAUGAAAAGAAGAAAGGACGAAUAAGUGCCACUCUUAAUACCAAGGAGGGUUACAGCUAUUUGUACAUCAAAGGAUCCCAGCCUGAAGACUCAGCCACAUACCUCUGUGCCUUUACACAGUGCUGUUCAGGCACCUGCAGCCCAUACGCAAACCUGUGUCUGGUGUUGCACUGUUACCAGCAUUGA